rnacentral:lncRNA from 1 species
CAGGAUGCAUAAAUAGAAUAUAGUUAGAAAUACUGGAGUUUCAAUACAAAUCUCUGAAGGAUUUUUGGAUCUUCUCACCAAGCUACUAAAAACCCUAAGUAUUGUUUGCUGUGAAAAGUAGAAAAUAUGAAAGCGUGGGUUGCUUAGAACAAUGGCAGAGCACAUAAAUAUUAGGUCAAAAGUCGGCCAGGGGUAUUUUUAUAAAUGUGUUGUGACUUGGGAAUUAAGUCGGCUGGAAACCUAGAUGAAUCUCGCGCGCUUCGCUGUCGAUUGACGGCACAUGAUGUGCGUCGAUGGA